GCCCCAAGAUAGCUCAGUCUGCAGAGCAUGAGACGCUUAAUCUCAGGGUUGUGGGUUUGAACCCCACGUUGGGCA